rnacentral:miRNA from 1 species
AUUUAGCGAGCUGAGUGGGGAGGAGAGAGGGACAGAGAGCCUGCUUGCUUUAAAGGAGCCAACCGGACAGGAGCCGCUUACACUCGUGUAAGCGGCUCCUAUCCUCUCCCGCUUUGCUCCUUUAAAGCAAGCAGGCGCUCUGUCCCUCUCUCCUCCCCACUCAGCGGCUCUUCUC